rnacentral:tRNA from 1 species
GGAUUGUGACUCAGUGGUAAAGCGCUUGUCUAGCACGUGUGAGGCCCUGGGUUUGAUCCUCAGCACCA